CCAAGUCGGGCGGGAUCACCCGCUGAGUUUAA
rnacentral:rRNA from 1 species